UACGGGGGGGGCAAGCGUUGUUCGGAAUCACUGGGCAUAAAGGGCGCGUAGGCGGGCCGUAAAGUCAGGGGUGAAAUCCUCCAGCUUAACUGGAGAACUGCCUUUGAUACUGACGGUCUCGAGUGAGGUAGGGGCGUGUGGAACUGAUGGUGGAGCGGUGAAAUGUGUUGAUAUCAUCAGGAACUCCGGUGGCGAAAGCGACACGCUGGACCUCUACUGACGCUGAGGCGCGAAAGCCAGGGGAGCAAACGGG
rnacentral:rRNA from 1 species